rnacentral:rRNA from 1 species
GACGGGGCCCGCACAAGCAGCGGAGCGUGUGGUUAAUUCGAAGCAACGCGAAGAACCUUACCAGGUCUUGACAUCCCCUGACAACCCGAGAGAUCGGGCGUUCCCCCUUCGGGGGACAGGGUGACAGGUGGUGCAUGGUUGUCGUCAGCUCGUGUCGUGAGAUGUUGGGUUAAGUCCCGCAACGAGCGCAACCCUCGACCUUAGUUGCCAGCAUUCAGUUGGGCACUCUAAGGUGACUGCCGGCUAAAAGUCGGAGGAAGGUGGGGAUGACGUCAAAUCAUCAUGCCCCUUAUGACCUGGGCUACACACGUGCUACAAUGGGCGGUACAAAGGGUCGCGAACCCGCGAGGGGGAGCCAAUCCCAAAAAGCCGCUCUCAGUUCGGAUUGCAGGCUGCAACUCGCCUGCAUGAAGCCGGAAUCGCUAGUAAUCGCGGAUCAGCAUGCCGCGGUGAAUACGUUCCCGGGCCUU